rnacentral:rRNA from 1 species
CCUGAGAAACCCAAAAGAUCGAAUGGGGAGAUUCAUCGUCAGCUCAUUUUGUAUAUAUAUAAGUUAUGAUAUAGGUUACUAUUUAUUUAGUAUUGCUUAUACAUUCUUAUAUAUUUAUUAGCAAGAUGUUGUCGGCGUGCAUUUCUUCCCUAGUAGAACGUCGCGACCCGUUGAGUGUUGGUUUACGGCUCAAUUGUAUAAGUCUUUAAUAUUUUUAUAUAUUAAAGUCAAUUGAUGUUUUCUAACCAUCUAUUCGGCGGUAUACGUAAGGUAUUAAGCCGCAAUUAUAUGCGUUCAUUACCGUCACAAGCGAGGCUUAUUACUAAUAGUAUGGACUUAGUGCUGUCGUUAGUAUUGGCCAGCUGUUGGUUGUUACGGUUUUCUAGAACUGGCUUAAAUUAAUUUAAUUUAAUACCGGUCGGCGAUGCUAAUGCUUUGGGUACUUUCAGGACCCGUCUUGAAACACGGACCAAGGAGUCUAACAUGUACGCAAGUCAUUGGGAUAUUUUUUUAUAAAAUUAAACCUAAAGGCGUAAUGAAAGUAAAGGUCGUCCUAGCGUCGACUAAGGGAAGAUGAUUUAUAUUAUUAUUAAUAUAAUUUCGCACUCCCGGGGCGUCUCAUUCUUAUUAUAAGAAGAGGCGCACUUAG